CAGCCGCCGCGGUAAUACGUAGGUGGCAAGCGUUGUCCGGAAUUAUUGGGCGUAAAGGGCUCGCAGGCGGUUGUGUAAGACAGGUGUGAAAUCCCCGGGCUUAACCUGGGGACUGCAUUUGAUACUGGCAGGCUUGAGUGUGGAAGAGGGUCGUGGAAUUCCCAGUGUAGAGGUGAAAUUCGUAGAUAUUGGGAAGAACACCGGUGGCGAAGGCGGCGACCUGGUCCAUAACUGACGCUGAGGCGCGAAAGCGUGGGGAGCAAACAGGAUUAGAUACCCCCGUAGUCCCUGUCUCUUAUAC
rnacentral:rRNA from 1 species